rnacentral:rRNA from 1 species
GUGUCAGCAGCCGCGGUAAAACGUAGGACGCAAGCGUUAUCCGGAGUGACUGGGCGUAAAGGGCGUGUAGGCGGCCUCUCAAGUGGCUCGUGAAAGACCCCGGCUCAACCGGGGAGGGACGGGUCAGACUGAGGGGCUAGAGGAUGGCAGAGGGACACGGAAUUCCGGGUGUAGUGGUGAAAUGCGUAGAGAUCCGGAGGAACACCAGUGGCGCAGGCGGUGUCCUGGGACGUACCUGACGCUGAGACGCGAAAGCAUGGGGAGCGAACGGGAUUAGAAACCCUAGUAGUCC